rnacentral:rRNA from 1 species
UACAGAGGGGGCAAGCGUUGUUCGGAAUUACUGGGCGUAAAGGGCGCGUAGGCGGCCUUCUAAGUCGAACGUGAAAUCCCUGGGCUCAACCCAGGAACUGCGUCCGAUACUGGAAGGCUUGAAUCCGGGAGAGGGAUGCGGAAUUCCAGGCGUAGCGGUGAAAUGCGUAGAUAUCUGGAGGAACACCGGUGGCGAAGGCGGCAUCCUGGACCGGUAUUGACGCUGAGGCGCGAAAGCGUGGGUAGCAAACAGG